UCCCUGGUGGUCCAGUGGUUAAGACUCUGCACUCCCAAUGCAGGGAGCACGGGUUCGAUCCUGGGCCAGGGGA
rnacentral:tRNA from 1 species